rnacentral:sRNA from 1 species
UCCAGGUUUGCUGUUUAUGUUGUUUUCUGUCGAAAUAAAAAAGCAUAAUUGUCUAACGAUAACAGUGGGUAAUUAACAGUAUUGCAGAUAGCUACUUGUGCCUUGAAACAUUGCUGUGUUCAGCUAUGGAUUUCCUCUUGUCACCUUCUAUUCCUUCAAACAGUCCCCCUUAUUUUCCCAUAUCUUCUCGUGCCUUGCAUGCUGUGUCAUAAAUGGGCCGUCCCCAACUGUCUGCUAGAUAUCAGAAAGUCGCUGGAACAUCUUCUUUACGACUUUGUCAACCUCUUCGUUGGCUGCUGUUCUAGCGACAGAAGCUAUGAUAUAGUGUGACAGUAGUCACAACCUUCCGAAACGGGCUGGUAGGGCAGUGAGGGAGCAUCCUUUGGCUUCAAAAUUGGGUGGCACAACGUGCUUAGCUAAGCAAAAACCACCGUCUCGGAAGCCACUGCCAAGUGGGAACCAUUCUUCUCGGAUGUUGCCUGAGAAGUGACCGUGGUAGGUAGUUAUGUCCUGAGCGAGGCGUAUACAGAGGAGGAGGACAUGUUGGGAUGGAUGGGAUCGCAGUUGGAAAUUUUCGUAAAUUCUUUGAUUUUGUCUCGCAAGGAGGCUCUGCGCCUCGUUGUCCUGCGACCAUUGCGCCCAGUAGUUUGGACCCGUUCUCUUGAAUGUCCUUCAGGCUCUUGAUCAAACUUCUGUCCUCAAUGAGUUUGAGCACAUGACUCUUGGAAGCUAGGAAGGACUUAGUUUAAUCAAGCGCUUUGUAGUCGGGCUGCAAUCAUCAGAGUAUGUAGUUAUUCGAUAGUGGAGUCCGAGGUUGCAUAGGAAGUUCGUUAAGCGUGGGAAAUAGGUCCAAGGAGAAGAAGAUAGGCCCAAAAGCUCUGUCUAGUGGACCCCUGGGAGGAAGAUGUCAAUAGUACAUGCCCGUCACAGAUCAGGAUGAACGGUUUACGGUAGGACUUUUUGCAUGCUUGGUA